AGGUUGGAAAUGCAGUCAUAGAGAAGAGGAAAAGAUAAGGAAGUUGAUGUCUAAUUUAAGGAGCCACCUACACCAACAACGUGAUACCAUCCACAUUCGUCGCCUGUUAUGUCCAGACCCCAACUGUGAGGUGUGUAAUAACACCACUGCUGAGAUCAAUCGGCUGCUGUACCCAGAGGCCCUAGAAGAUGCUACUUCCUUGAUUUCCACAGCUUCUGUGACUGAGCAUUAUUCACCUUGUCCCAAGCCUUCUCAACAAUCCCUCCAGAAGACCUAGUAUCAGCCUCUCUGCCUGAGCCUUCCCUACCACCGGCCUCUACCCUCCUACCUAACCCAGUGACCCCCUUGGCAGCCUUUUCCUCCCUUCAAUUUCAAAUUCCCAGUGGACCAUUUCCCACCCCAAUCCUUUGCCUCUUCCCCUCUCCCACCAUAUGAUGUUCAGACAGUAGACCCUGUUGCCCAACCAGA